AAUUAGUGGGGUAUUUAAUCUCGCCCUACCCACUUGGUUUUGUCUGUCUUGUUGUUCACCUGUGUCUAGUUUAGGUUAAUUAGUGGGGUAUUUAAUCUCGCCCUACCCACUUGGUUUUGUCUGUCUUGUUGUUCACCUGUGUCUAGUUUAGGUUAAUUAGUGGGGUAUUUAAUCUCGCCCUACCCACUUGGUUUUGUCUGUCUUGUUGUUCACCUGUGUCUAGUUUAGGUUAAUUAGUGGGGUAUUUAAUCUCGCCCUACCCACUUGGUUUUGUCUGUCUUGUUGUUCACCUGUGUCUAGUUUAGGUUAAUUAGUGGGGUAUUUAAUCUCGCCCUACCCACUUGGUUUUGUCUGUCUUGUUGUUCACCUGUGUCUAGUUUAGGUUAAUUAGUGGGGUAUUUAAUCUCGCCCUACCCACUUGGUUUUGUCUGUCUUGUUGUUCACCUGUGUCUAGUUUAGGUUAAUUAGUGGGGUAUUUAAUCUCGCCCUACCCACUUGGUUUUGUCUGUCUUGUUGUUCACCUGUGUCUAGUUUAGGUUAAUUAGUGGGGUAUUUAAUCUCGCCCUACC